ACCCGGCUGGCUCAGUCCAUAGAGCAUGUGACUCUUGAUCUCAGGGUCAUGAGUUUGAGCCCCAUGUUGGGGG
rnacentral:tRNA from 1 species